CUCGUUCUGGGCUUCGGAGCUCCUGGAACAACCCGCAGGCUUCGCCGCCGAGACCCACUGGCCUUCGUCCGUUGGUGUUGGGGUUCAGCUGGUUCUGGGACCCCGCUUGCGGCUUGUCUGUGUGCAGACAGGCCGGGUGCGACCCUCGUGCUUGCCUUUCCGCCGCUCCGGGAGAGGCUGGAGGUCAGCUUUUGGGGGACAGGGCAGAGAAGGGUGGAGAGGACCCAGAGAAGCAAAGGGAGAAAAACCAGCACCAUCUACCUCAUAGGUGUGAGGGUUGUAGGAGUAUUAGCCUUAAAGCCCUUAGAACAGUGUCCGGUACAUGCUGCACCUGCUGUUAUUGUUAUUAUGAUUAUUAUUAAUUUAGUUUCAUGGAAAAUUCUGUGCUCAGAAAACCCUUGCUUUCUAGUACAGACCAACUCUCAGAAAAGGAUUC
rnacentral:lncRNA from 1 species